GUUCCCAAUUUAAUUAAUCUCAAGAAUAAUAUUAAAGAGAAGUCACAUGAAACACUUUUGCACACUGAAGACUUGGAAGAUUCUAUCACCGUGGUGAGGUUAAUGAAAGAUUGUGGUUUCCCCAUUGCUGAUGAGAUGGUUAGAGACAUCAAGACAUCUCUAGCUAUGAUGUCAUCAAAACAACCAAGAAGAGGAUUAAUCCAUGGCCCAACUUCAAAUUUUCAAAUGGGAACAACUAUCUCAUGGGGACCGUCCACUUGGGGUCAAAAUGGAGUCCGGCAGGAAAGCAGAACUAGUAGUUAUUUUUCAUCUGUAUUUAAGACUGCAAAAGAAAGGGCCAGCAAUUUCAAGUGGCCACAGCUUGAUC
rnacentral:misc_RNA from 1 species